rnacentral:rRNA from 1 species
UACGGAGGGUGCGAGCGUUAUCCGGAAUCACGGGGUUUAAAGGGUGCGUCGGCGGCUCGGUAAGUCAGUUGUGAAAACCCCUUGCUUAACGAGGGAGGUGCGAUUGAUACUGUCGAGCUUGAAUCGGGAUGAGGCAGGCGGAAUGUGGCAUGUAGCGGUGGAAUGCAUAGAUAUGGCUUAGAACACCGAUUGCGAAGGUAGACUGCUGGGCCUGUAUUGACGCUGAGGCACGAAAGCGUGUGGAGCAAACAGG